rnacentral:rRNA from 1 species
GUGUCAGCAGCCGCGGUAAUACAGAGGUCCCAAGCGUUGUUCGGAUUCACUGGGCGUAAAGGGUGCGCAGGUGGGUUGGCAAGUUCGAUGUGAAAGCCCCGGGCUUAACCCGGGAAUGGCAUUGGAAACUGCUGAUCUGGAGGAUCGGAGGGGGGACUGGGAUUCUUGGUGUAGCAGUGAAAUGCGUAGAUAUCAAGAGGAACACCAGUGGCGAAGGCGAGUCCCUGGACGAUACCUGACACUGAGGCACGAAAGCCAAGGGAGCAAACAGGAUUAGAUACCCCGGUAGUCC